UCUCUGUUAGUAUAUCGGUUAGUACACGCGCCUGUCAUGCGCAAGCACGUCCGCGCGAAAGCUGGGUUCGACUCCCAGACAGAGAG
rnacentral:tRNA from 1 species